rnacentral:rRNA from 1 species
GAUGAACGCUAGCGGGAGGCCUAAUACAUGCAAGUCGAACGGUAACAGGUAGCAAUACGCUGACGAGUGGCGCACGGGUGCGUAACGCGUACACAAUCUGCCUUAUACUGGGGCAUAGCCUUUGGAAACGAAGAAUAAUUCCCCAUAACAUAUAGAAGAGGCAUCUCUUUUAUAUUAAAGCUCAGGCGGUAUAAGAUGAGUGUGCGUCCGAUUAGGUAGUUGGUGAGGUAACGGCUCACCAAGCCAACGAUCGGUAGCUGGUCUGAGAGGAUGAUCAGCCACACUGGGACUGAGACACGGCCCAGACUCCUACGGGAGGCAGCAGUGGGGAAUUUUGGACAAUGGGGGCAACCCUGAUCCAGCCAUGCCGCGUGAGUGAAGAAGGCCUUCGGGUUGUAAAGCUCUUUCGGCCGGGAAGAAAUCGCACAGGCUAAUACCCUGUGUGGAUGACGGUACCGGAAUAAGAAGCACCGGCUAACUACGUG